rnacentral:rRNA from 1 species
UGUGUAGGUGGUGCUCUAAGUCUGUCGUGAAAUCUCCCGGCUUAACUGGGAGGGUGCGGCGGAAACUGGGGCGCUCGAGUAUGGGAGAGGAAAGCGGAAUUCCUGGUGUAGCGGUGAAAUGCGUAGAUAUCAGGAGGAACACCUGUGGUGUAGACAGCUUUCUGGACCAUUACUGACACUGAGACACGAAAGCGUGGGUAGCAAACA